CAGCACAGGGGCAAACGGAGCAAGGCGAGGGGUGGCCGCAGGUCAGAGGUGCGGCUGAGCAGGGCACGCAGUAGCCGGGAGUGCCCGGCUCUCUACGGGAAACCAGCAACUGGCUUGGACAGCUACUGUUGCUGGAUCAGGCGCUGGCUCCUAGAGCCCAGCUUCCUCGCUCUAGGAAGGAGUAGGCGGCGUGGGGACAGAAACCCGGCAGGUCGGUAAGUCAGGAUUCCAGAGCAUGGUGGCUGUGGUCAUCACCAGAGUCACCAGAUAAAAGGGGUUCCGAGAGGGAAUCUAGACAGCACCCAACACGGAGGAUACGCCUUAAGGAUUCUGGGCAAGUUUUCAAGCCUGGCAGAAGAGGGGGAGCUGUUUGAGGCUGCACGGACCCAAAUAACCAGCUGCAGCCUCAGAGCUUCAAGCCUCAGGUCAAGGCGCUGAGUUCCUCUCAAGAAGGUGAAGGAAGGCUGAAAGCCUGCAGAGGCAGGGGACAGAGGCGGACAGGGUGGUGCCUGGGUCUGUCCAGUGCCUGGGCCGGAAGGGAACGGUGCCCAAGCCUGGUUCACAAGGACAGGAGACUCAUUCACGGUUUGAGAGCCUGUGACCCACGGUCUGUCUGAAGUCAGAGAAUGUCCCUCUCAGACACAGACACCAGCUUUGGGCUUCUAGAGAGCCAGCGUCAACAACAUUCGUGGCGUAUCUACCAGGCAGCCAGGCAGGCCUCGCUGGCUGAGCCAGACACAGGAACCCUCGCCUGGGCUUUCUCCCUCACACCCAGCGCAGGGCUCCUCCCACUCCCCCCUCCUUUAAUGUUCUUUCAGCCCUCCUCCCAGCCUCUCCCCCUCCAAAUCCAAGCCUAAAGGUGGGGACAAUAUUGGCAGCGAGAGACCCACGCGCCUUAACUCCUGGAGCUGACUGCAGGAGGGAGUCUGACUGAGAGGGAGGAGGUCUGUGAACCCAAUUCGCAGCACCCUCAUAACCCCCACUAGUUAAACCAGUUCGCUCCUGGGCCUUAGGACCGAGAAGGCCAGGGGAAGGGAGCCGGCUUUGGCCUGCAGGUGGAGGCUAACCAGUGCCCUUCUUCUCUGGCAUGCUCCUGCCCCAUCACUCCACAUCCUGGGAGUGUCCACGUCCCUCACUGCCUACCCUGGGAGGUACGGCCUGGCAGAACACAGCAUGGCCAGAGACAACUCAGUCUCCCCAAACGCCAGGAAGGGGGAAAGCGCCAGAGAGAAAGGGUUGGCAUCACAGAGCCCAGGAC